rnacentral:tRNA from 1 species
ACCUGGCUAGCUCAGUUGGGAGAGCAUGAGACUCUUACUCAUAGAGUCAUGGGUUUGAGCCCCAUGUUGGGUG